AUUGAACGCUGGCGGCAGGCCUAACACAUGCAAGUCGAGCGGAUGAGAGGAGCUAGCCCCUCGAUUCAGCGGCGGACGGGUGAGUAAUGCCUAGGAAUCUGCCCAGUAGUGGGGGACAACGUUUCGAAAGGAACGCUAAUACCGCAUACGUCCUACGGGAGAAAGUGGGGGAUCUUCGGACCUCACGCUAUUGGAUGAGCCUAGGUCGGAUUAGCUAGUUGGUAGGGUAAAGGCCUACCAAGGCGACGAUCCGUAACUGGUCUGAGAGGAUGAUCAGUCACACUGGCACUGAGACACGGUCCAGACUCCUACGGGAGGCAGCAGUGGGGAAUAUUGGACAAUGGGCGCAAGCCUGACCAGCCAUGCCGCGUGUGUGAAGAAGGCCCUCGGGUCGUAAAGCACUUUAAGUUGGGAGGAAGGGCUUACAGCGAAUACCUGUGAGUUUUGACGUUACCGACAGAAUAAGCACCGGCUAACUUCGUGCCAGCAGCCGCCGUAA
rnacentral:rRNA from 1 species